GGCCUUACCUUCUCAUUCCCUUUCCUCCGUUUUAGUCCAGCCGUGCACUUUUUGUCGAAGGCCAAGUAGACGUUCGUUCUUGCAGCAUGUUCACGUACAUAAGACGGCAUCCCCUUCAAUGAAAUGGCAUCCCGAGCCCAGCCAAGGACACCAGGGAAGUCUUCCUCGUCCCAGCUUAGGGGAGGAGCACCAACUCCAGGGGGUAUUGGUCAUGGAGGUGGGGAGAGUCCAGCCUCGAGGCCCAUGAAGAAACCUUCAGACAGACUCAAUCCCAAAACUAUUGAUCCGUUCAAAGAAUCCAAAAAUCCUAAGUCUGCCUUUGCCAGCGUCUACGCCAGAGGGGGCAUUCCUUGCAGACUGGUCCAUGGAUCAGUAAAGCACAAGCUACAGUGGGAUUGCAACCCAUGUGACCUGCCCUUUGAUCCCCUACUGAUCACACUAGCCGAGGGUCUCCAAGAAUUCAAGCAUCCUUAUCAGUUUGUCGCUCAGCAAGGCUUCAAGGAGCUAUUGCAGGUAUCAGAUGCAAGUACCAAGGCAACGGCGGUCUUGUCGAGAAUCAUCCUACCCCUGAGAAAUGCCUUGGGUUCUUCUAAUGAUUCAGUAUUUGAGGGAGCAGUGGAUGCCUUAGUCCAUCUCAGCAUUGCCGUAGGACCACAGCUCAACCCUUAUCUCAAAUCAGUUCUCAGCUAUUUAUCCAAGAAAUUGAUGGAUAAGAAUUGCAAGGAUUCCAUCACCACAGCCCUCCAACAGAUUGAGCAAGCCUGCGGCAAGGAAAGCCAAGCCAUCAUCAAAUCUAAGAUUCCCACCUAUUCAUCGAUCUUAUGAUGAAAGCUGAGCAGUAACCAUUGUACAUAAUGUAGUCAAUAGCAGCUGGUGGCUACCAACUGAAUGCAGUUAAAGAUUUGAUCGAUGCUGAAUGAAAUAACAGUUGAAGUCGUUUUUUUGUGGUUGCCUUGGGACUCUUCAGUGUGAGCGGAAGAUUGCACCGGCGACGAUGAGAUGCCUCGUGCGACAUUCCUCAGAGCCAAGUGCCACACUUAACGCCUUGUUGCUUCCUCAGAAACUUAGAUAGGCACCUUAAAGUGAAGGGGGUUUCUUGUGGCAAACCUUAAUGAAAGUAUUACAGAUUUACUUGCGCAAAAUUGGUUUGCACAGAGAAACAAUUAAUUCGUUUUCUGUUUUUAAAUUAGAAAUAUUGCCCAUGACUUGAACACACAGUGCAUUCUGUCUGGCAAUUAUUUAGUCAGUCAGUUUUGAAUUGCUUCAAUUGUUGACAAAGCCGAAGCUUUAAGUUCUGGUUAAGGUUAAAUUUCGUUUACUUGCAGUAAAAUGUCUGUGAUCUUUAAUCUGUUUGACAUCAAUAUCGUGGGAAAAUACUUAAACAUUUUUUGGGUCAUUUUAAAAAUUGUCUCAAAAUGAGGAUAUAGCCCUACAAAUUCAAGCAAUGGAAACUUUUUAUAGUGGGCCCUAUUCGACAAAAGGUUUUGAAAUUCGUUUGGAAUCUGUAGAAUAUACAGAGAGUUUUGUCAGUGGUGAGUUGUUUUCGACUUGAAACUUACUUUGUACGGACGACAGAACGACUGCUGUACAUUUAGCGAACGAGCCUCGGAGUCGGACCAGUGGCUUUGCGUCACACGAUUUCCUGGAUCAGCAGUCUCAAUUUUGCCCCGGUUACCAGACCCCUGAGAGACGACAAAGGACGGAACGAUACCAUUUUAGCCGCCGCAAAGCCCAGAAUUAAAGUCUAAUCGUUGAAAGGCGGGGAAUGGCUAGCGGUUUCGCCGAAAGCUUUUAGACAGUUAAAUUCUGCUCACAUCUAAGCACGUGUAUGGAAUCAUCAUGGAUUACGUGAGACGUGGGUCAUAGGCUCUAGAUACAUGCCCACAAGAGGAGGCACACUUCCGUUAAGUGCGGGAAGACAAAGUAGGCACUUCCUGUUAAUAGCUGAAAAGCGCGUAACACAGGAAGGACUCGUCCUCGGCUCGAGUUACCGAUCAUACUCAUUUUCUUCCUAUAAAUGCUCGACUUUUUUCCAUGAAAUGUUGGUUAAAAUAGAUUGGUGAGAAAUUGUCUGUGCUUGGAGAUAGGCUACAGUGGAGUUCACUGUACUGGUCCAAGGAAAUAAGGUUGCAAAUAUGUGACUUGGGUUGACUUGCUUUGAUCUUUAUCACAUUCGGAUUGAGAGACAAGUUCGCCAACAGAGACAACCUCUGAAUGAAUUUCACUAACCAGUCAUCUAAGCCUGUCUUUGAUAAGCUGAAAACGAACCCUAACCACUGAAUUUGUUGGGCUGUAGCACCCUGUCUCCUCCAAAUUGUUUUCAUACAUGUACUCUUUAUCUUUAAACAGUCAGGGCUAGUCGUGGCAGCCUCUUCAAGGAACAGAUAAACCCAGACUGUUCAGUCUUUGAAUUAAAAAAAUGAAAAUCACCUACCAAGGGGUGCGGGCUUUGUCUUAAAUUUAACGACUAUGAGUUAAGUUCAUCUUGGUUAUUUUGUGCUCCAACAAAAAUUCGGCUCUUUGCUAAAAAUAUGCUGCCUAUCUCUUCAUUGUUCAACCUGGGACUUUGGCC